CGACAAUUCUUGAUUCUUGCAGAUAAACAUUCUCCAACAACUAUUAAGAGUUGGAUUGCUCUACCUUCAUUUAAUUCCUUGGUGCUUUACUAUUUGAAUCUAGAAUAUUCUUGAAGUCUGAAAGAUGGAUAGAAAAGAGGUAAGUCAUGUAAACUUAUAAACAGGGCACGAACCCCGCUAACAGACAGCUUUGAAGAGAUGAUGAUUUUAGAUCUUGUGAAUUGUUAUGUCAGAGGAAUACAUGCAGAAGAAAACAGGCACCGAAAUAGUUAUUACCAGAGCAAAGUAAAUCUGAACACCUAAAAGAAUAAGAAAGUAUCUUAUGCUUCUCUCUACUCUGAACUGCCUUGAAAAGAGCAAGAAUUUCAUACAUGAGCCUGUAGCACAUUACAAAAUCUGAGUAUGUAUUUGAAAUUCAAAUGCACACAAAGUUCAUGCAUUUUAUUUUCCAGUUGUUCUCAAGACUCCUAAAUAAAGCAUUUCCCCUGUGUGGGCGACCCCUGGGUCCCAUGUGGGGUCAGUGUUUGGGUCUCUCUGAGAGGAUCAGGAAGGCUGCUCUUCCAGGAAGGGCUGCAGGGACCCUGGGAACCGGACCAGUCCAGCUCACAAGUAUGAAGAGAAUGUCGGGAGAGGAAGUGGUGGCUAUGAGUCAGCAUGAGUCAUCUCGUUCCAAUGAGAAUGAAGGCUGAGGUGUGCGCCUUUUUUUUUUUUCCUUCUUAGUCGUGUGUACAUCAUUGGGAAUGGAGGGAAAUAAAUGACUGGAUGGUCGCUGCUUUUUAAGUUUCAAAUUGACAUUCCAGACAAGCGGUGCCUGAGCCCGUGCCUGUCUUCAGAUCUUCACAGCACAGUUCCUGGGAAGGUGGAGCCACCAGCCUCUCCCUGACAAGCAAAGUGGAUCAGCAAAGGCUGCAGUCACCAGCAUCUUUUCCAACCUUAAUGAACUGUAUCCUCAAAAGAACACUAUCAGACUGGCUCUGCCGACUUCCAGUUCUGGAACAAGAUGGUUAAACUCAUUUUUCCCUGCUCUGCUCCUCUAAAUACAACUAAGUACCUUGGAAACUAUUCAGCAGACAAUGAUAAAGGGCUCUGAAAGCUAGAAGAAAAGGUGUACUUGCAAGAAACCUCAGGACUUGAGUAACAGCAACAUGGCAGGCCAGAAAGCAGACCCAGGGAGGAUAGCACAUGUCUUCGGCUACACUGGUGAAGGCAUCGUGCCUGCUCCACAGCACAUUUUUAUUCAAGUCUUGGACGAGCCUGAGGAUGUCUACAAGUGGAAGAAAAGAAGCCACUGGAGCAGAAGGUGGGGAGGAUAAAAUUUGGAGCAAGAUUCUCAAGGAAGCAACAAGAUCCUAAGAUCUUGUUCUCACUAGAGAAUAAUUUCUACAUUAUGCCCAGGUUCUUCUGAGCUAUGAAGGGGCCCAGAUUUAAGGGCUAUUUUUGACACCCUAAAUGUGCUGAGACAAGUCAUUAAGGUGGUCCUGCCAGGACACAGCCAUCUAAAGCAGCAAUCUGCUUCUUGCCAGAAAAUCUCGUGCCUCUGCAGAGCCUUUUCCAGAAUGAACCACACCAUGCUGAGGAAAGGAGAAAGAGACUACCUACUGCAUUUCUGUCACUCGCUGAAAAGGACACUCUGUCAGAAAAUCUUCUAGCAAACUUCAAAGGGCAAAAUCACCCCUUGUUACUGAUAAAGCCCAGAGAGCUUCAGCAGCUAACAUUCCCUGGACAGGGCACAGCAAGGAUUUGAACCUAGGUCAGUCUGGCCAGAACACCCACAAGCUUUCCUUAACUCAGUGUGCUAUCUCCCCACGACUAGGUCACUACUGCUUUAUAAUCACCUUUGUAGCCACCAGUGGAUUUUGCUCAUCAGUAUUUUUCAGGCAAUUGAUACUUUAGAUAUUCAGCUGCAAGACGUAUGCAGUUUUCAUUGACAUCUUUUGGAGAAACUGACAAACCUGGACUUGACUUAAUGCCUUUGGAACCUUCCAAGAUGUUAUAUAACUCUAGAUAGAAGGCUGGGCCUCCAUGAUGUCAGGAAUGUUGCAUUCUUAUUUCCCCAUAGAUAAACCCAUUUGUCCACAAAGUCAAGGAGUCAGGCAGAGGCCCUUGCCAUGGGGCUUUUUAGGAUAAAGCAACAAGCCUGGACUUUGCUCUACAACAGGGUUUUGCAUAGGGAGUGGUAUGACCAGAUCCCUCAAGAAAGAAAGCUUAGAGACCAGGCCAGAGUCCACUGCAGUAGCCCAGUCAAGAGAGGAUGGUGACUUGGACUUGUAGUAGAGCCAGUUAGAAUGAAAGAAAUUGACACAUUCAGAAAUGGUUUUAGAGAUAGAGUCAAACUGGACCUGAUAAAGAACUAGAGAAGCGGAGUGAGGAUAAAGAGAAGAGCCAUGACUGACUCGGAAGAUUUUGUCUUGAAAAACUUGAGAACUCAAGACAGAGUGAAAUAAAAUCACAUGUGGGAAAAAUCUCCUGCUUUGUUUUGGACUACUUUGAAGUGAAAUGCCUGUUAAGCCUAAGUGGGGUAGGUCAUGGCGUACAUGACUGUGGGCUCAGGAUGGAUACAGGCAUUCAGGAGUUGUGAGCAAAUAGAACUUAAAGCCAUGAGAGAAGAAGGGAUCACCAAGAGAGACAGUGUGGCAUAGAGAAGAAAAGGGGUGGAAGACGAUCCCUGGGCAGAAAAGUCCUUAGAGCAGAGGCAACAGGCAUGACCAAGAAGACUAAGAAAGAACAUUCAGUACAGCAGGAGGAGAGCAAAAAAUGUGUGGUAUUCUAGAAGCAAAGAGAAUAAAGGGCUUCAGGAAGGAGCAGUCAAGUGUGUCAAAUAAGAUAAAGACAGACAAGUCCCCUGGAUUGGGUAGGAAUAAAAUAACAACAGACUGCCAUACAAAUGGUUCUAUCUACACCAUCUAAAAGAAUAUAGUUUAUUCUCCAUACAUUUAAGAAACACCUGCCAUAUGCCAGGUAUCCUUUCAAGCACUGAAAUGCAGAUUCAUAAAACAUGGUCUCUGCUCUCAAGGAGCUCACAGUGGUAAGGAGGAAACAGGCAAUAGCGAGUGUUCUCAUUGCAUUCGUGACCCCAUUGAUCUUGCAACAGCCCCAUGCAUCAGUUAUUGCCAUUAUACCAUUUUACCGAUAAGGAAACUGUGGCAGGGAGGGGUCAAGCACCUUGGGUAUUUGACAGCAAAACCAAGGCUUGGUGGUAUCAUAAAACUUCCAAGUAGUAAUUCACAAAGGUGACUGGGAAAUGGAAGUGACCAGAAAUCUUUGCACUAUGAGGACAAGUUCAUGACCCUGAUACAUUCUUGUCCAGGUAGUAUAGCUCCAGACCAAAUGUCUGCGGCCACCCACCCAAAAACUUGUUGGAUAAAAAUGACUACACCUAUAGUCAAAUGAUUUUUGACAAAGGUGCCAAACAGUUAGAUAGGAAAAAGAAAGUUAUUUUCAAUAAAUGUUGCUGGAGCAACCAGAUAUCCAUAUGGAAAAAAAAUCUUGACCACCUACCUCACACCAAACACUAAUAUUAACUUGAGAUGGAUCAUAAACCUAAGUCUGAAAACUAAUAGUAAAGUUCUUGAGAAGAGAACAUGGGAGAAUGUCUUCAUGAUGUUCAGGUAGGCAAAGAUAUUUUAAGACACAAAAAAGCAAUAAGCAUAAAAUUUGUAAAGAGGUGACUGGGGCUUUAUCAAAAUUAAAAUUUAUGUGUAUUAAAAGACAUCAUGAAUAAAGGGAAAAGGGCAGCCACAGACUGGGAGAAACUCUUUACUAUACAUAUACCUAACUGAGG
rnacentral:lncRNA from 1 species